GAUGAACGCUGGCGGCGUGCCUCAAACAUGCAAGUCGAGCGAGGCUAUGAAUUACCGCAAGGUAAGGCAUAGCCUAGCGGCGAACGGGUGAGUAACACGUGGGUAACCUACCUGGAAGACAGGGAUAACGAUUCGAAAGGGUCGCUAAUACCUGAUAAUAUCCAUCUGCCGGAUGGCGGAGGGAAGAAAGGGGAAACCCGCUUUCAGAUGGGCCCGCGUCCCAUCAGCUAGUUGGUAAGGUAAAGGCUUACCAAGGCGACGACGGGUAGCCGGUCUGAGAGGAUGUACGGCCACACUGGGACUGAGAUACGGCCCAGACUCCUACGGGAGGCAGCAGUUGGGAAUAUUGCACAAUGGGCGCAAGCCUGAUGCAGCGACGCCGCGUGAGCGAAGAAGGUUUUCGGAUCGUAAAGCUCUGUCCUCUGGGAAGAAAAAAUGACGGUACCAGAGGAGGAAGCCCCGGCUAACUACGUG
rnacentral:rRNA from 1 species